CGCCAGCCUGACGGAGCCAGACCGCGUGGGGGAGGAAGGCCCUUGGGUUGUAAACCCCUUUUCUCAGGGAAGAAACCUGACGGUACCUGAGGAAAAAGCCUCGGCUAACUCCGUGCCAGCAGCCGCGGUAAUACGGAGGAGGCAAGCGUUAUCCGGAAUUACUGGGCGUAAAGCGUCCGUAGGGGGCUCGUCAAGUCUGCUGUCAAAGGUCGGAGCUCAACUCCGGUUCGGCAGUGGAAACUGGUGGGCUAGAGGGCGACAGGGGUAGAGGGAAUUCCCAGUGUAGCGGUGAAAUGCGUAGAGAUUGGGAAGAACACCGGUGGCGAAAGCGCUCUACUGGGUCGCACCUGACCCUCAGGGACGAAAGCUAAGGGAGCG
rnacentral:rRNA from 1 species